rnacentral:rRNA from 1 species
UACGUAGGGUGCGAGCGUUUAAUCGGAAUACUGGGCGUAAAGCGUGCGCAGGCGGUUAUGUAAGACAGGUGUGAAAGCCCCGGGCUCAACCUGGGAAUGGCCGUUGAAACUGGCGAACUGGAGUGUGGCAGAGGGGGGUGGAAUUCCGCGUGUAGCAGUGAAAUGCGUAGAGAUUGGGAAGAACACCAGUGGCGAAGGCGGCUAUCUGGACGGUUUCUGACACUAAGACUCGAAAGCGUGGGAGGCAAACAGG